GGUUUCUCCACAGCUCAGCUUUAGCCCUGCUCAUCUUGCCUUCGGCCCCCAGCGCCCACUCACCAACAACGGCAGAGCCUACUGGCCGAGCAGUGCAGCCAAUCCGAGGCGAGGAAACGCAGAAAGACUUCCGGGAAUGAAGAAAAAUGGAUUUUUCCAGUUAUGACUGCAUAGCCCAGGGGAAGAACCCAGUCUUCAGGUCAUGCUGCACUUGACACUGCCAGUUUUUUCAGAUGGUCCAUGAAUACCUGGAGACUAACAUCAUCCGUUAGGAUUGGAGACCCCGAUUCCUGCAAUAAUAGAAAUAAAUGUGUGAUGAGAAAAAAAACGAAUAGGGGUAGAACAAGGGUCAUUCUGAAAGAAAAUUAGGUUUCUGUGCCCAAUGCUAAUCAACCAUAUGCAUAUUCUAGCCAGAGAGAGAGAGAGAGAGAGAGAGAGAGAGAGAGAGAGAGCAUGUGUAGCCACACAAAUUCCAGCCAGAGAGAGAGAGUGUGUGCGUGUGUGUGUGUGAAGCCACACAACAACAAUAGUAACAACAAAACUCCAUUUAUUCUGGACUCGCAAGUAAAUCUAUAGUAUUGAAAGAGAUUUUAUUAUUUAUGAAACAUAAUUUGUAUCCCUGCCCCAAAGAUGUAACAAAAAAAUAAAAAAGGAAGGACAGAAUAAGACCCCCAAAAAUCAAGCAACCAUUCAUAGAUUAUAAGGCUGAAAGGGACCUCGGCAGAUCAUCAGGUCCAGCCCCUGCACCAAGGAGGAAAGACAAUUGGGUUCAGGUGACCAUCCAGUCUCCCCUUGAAGAUUU